GUUAAGUCAGGCAACGAGCGAGACCCACGCCAACAGUUGCCAGCUCGGUCCUCCCGGGGAGUGGUGGGGACGACUGUUGGGACCGCCUCUGCUAAAGAGGAGGAAGGAAUGGGCAACGGUAGGUCAGCAUGCCCCGAAUUAUCUGGGCUACACGCGGGCUACAAUGGGUGGGACAAUGGGUAUCGACACCGAAAGGUGAAGGCAAUCUCCUAAACCCAUCCGUAGUUCGGAUUGUGGGCUGCAACUCGCCCACAUGAAGCUGGAAUCUGUAGUAAUCGUGUCUCAAAAUGGCACGGUGAAUAUGUCCCUGCUCCUU
rnacentral:rRNA from 1 species